GGACCCGCACAAGCGGUGGAGCAUGUGGUUUAAUUCGAAGCAACGCGAAGAACCUUACCAAGUCUUGACAUCCUUCUGACCGACGAGUAACGUCGUCUUUCCUUCGGGACAGGAGUGACAGGUGGUGCAUGGUUGUCGUCAGCUCGUGUCGUGAGAUGUUGGGUUAAGUCCCGCAACGAGCGCAACCCUUAUUCUUAGUAGCCAGCAAGUGAAGUUGGGCACUCUAGGGAGACUGCCAGGGAUAACCUGGAGGAAGGUGGGGAUGACGUCAAAUCAUCAUGCCCCUUAUGAUUUGGGCUACACACGUGCUACAAUGGCGUAAACAAAGGGAAGCGACCCUGUGAAGGUAAGCAAAUCUACAAAAUAACGUCUCAGUUCGGAUUGUAGUCUGCAACUCGACUACAUGAAGCUGGAAUCGCUAGUAAUCGCGAAUCAGAAUGUCG
rnacentral:rRNA from 1 species